AGUGCGAGUUGCAAACGUUAACCUCACAGCGACCACAUUGUUGGUUUUGUCUUCGUCCAAUGGAAUAUGGGCAGAAUCUGCAUCGUCGCUUUUGCCCACUCCCCUCCGGUUUGGAUUUUUCAUUUGUUUUUGGUUCUUCUGAUCCGAGUUUGGGUCUGUCGUUGUUGAUAGCAGAUGCAAUUAGUGGAGUGACCAAAUUCUCGCACAAAGUUUUGAGAAAUUGGCAUCGUCUGUCGGCGACUUGGGUCUUCCAGGAGUGGUUGGUUGUAAUCCAAAUGUUAUAGGCAGCGAGUGCUGAAGCGUCCAUUAGGUUGAAGAAGUAAGAAAGCGGCCAACGAUUUGUCUUUCGUUUAGACGAAUACUUGUGAAUCAUUUGGUCGAACGUAUCAACACCGCCUUUGGUGUUGUUGUAGUCCAAAAUCAUUUUUGGUUUCUUGUGUUCAAUAUCAACGAUAUCCACUGAACUGUGCAUAGUCGACAAUAAAAUCACAGCUUUGCUGCGCUUCGGCACAUACGAGACUAAA